UUUUUUUUUCCCGAAACACAGGCUAACAUCCUAUUAAACACACAAAUCGUGUUUCCUGUGACUCUGGCUCACAGCAGAAACCCCCAGAAUAUGUCUAGGAUGCUCAGAACAAGAAAUCAUGGUCCAGUUAACAAAGCAGCUGGUUUUCUUUGGAGCAAGAGGGAAGAACACAGACUCAGGGCUGUGGGAACAUCAAUUCCUCAGCCUCCACCAGCUGGGACGAGGCCAUCAGCAAGAAGCAACCUGCCCUGGUCUUGCGAGCACACUUACGCUGCAUUGGCCUCUGGCACCUGGCUGGUUCUGGGCAAAGAGAAGGUGUGGCUGCUAGAAAUGAAUGGCUUCCUGGGCUGGAACUGCUCACACCAUGAGUGCAAACUCUCCUGGGACCUGAGUAGCUACCCUGGCCCCCAGAGCAAUCAAUGCUGCUGAGAAAGAAAAGGGUGCGCUAACAAACCAGAGGGAAAGUGAGCCAUUAUAUCUCUUACCACUCUGCUGAGUCGGGGCCCUGUGAGCUGUCAGCACCAAUAUGGGAGAGUUAGGGUGGGGCAGAGAAUCACCCAGGCCUACAUCAGCCAGAAACAGCAGCAAACUCUCAGGCCUAGGCUGUGGACCUGCCCAGCUCUGCAGGACAAUGGGCAAAGUGCAAGGUCUUUAUGGAGUCAACAGCCAGAAACUCCAGGAUGCUGCAGCCAGCGGCACUUGGUGGGUAAUUCAAGAUCAAGGCAGGACCAGGGAAGAAGCUAGCCAGGGAACAGACAGUCAACGGCACUCUCCUGUGGACCUUGACAUUAGUCGGCGAAGGAAACCUGUGUCCACUCUCUGACCACAGGGUGAUUCUCCGAAACAGUACUUAUAAUUUGAAAUGACUCAGCUAAUUCUCCAAGGAGGUGGCUGGCCUGCCUGCCUGAACACGGGUUCCUCAAGCUGGGCUCUCCGUGUUUGUCUUCUUAUGUGACCCUGCGGGACUCUUUGGUGGCCCUGUCCCCUGGCUUGGGAACAGUGUGAGGCUCAUCAGCAGCCCUUAGAGUGUGCUUAAGAGAAAGCAAAGACAAAAAGCACAAAGACAGGAAGGUGGAGAGAAGGGCAGGCACUCGGAGAGCUGCUUCUUCCGUGUUCCCUUCUGGCCUCUCGGCAGGCUCGUCAAUGCCAGUGGGCGCGCAGAUCUGGACAGUACCAGCGACGGACCUUUGUGCGGGUCACGUGAGGGCACGUGGUUUUGGAGCCUGAAACAUGAAUAACGUGGAAAACAUCCACCUUCAUUUCUUGCUGUUUCAUCUCUCUCUGGGAUUUUUUUUUUCUUUCAGUGUUUGCAAUACAAACAAGCUGUAACCUGAAAGCACAGUUCUCAGGGAUGACGCUAUGGUGAAGAAACGCCGUUAAAAUGCUCACGAGGGAUCGCCCGCAGCUGUAAAGAACAGAUUCUCCUAAGGGUUGGAUUUAUUCAGUGGGGUUUGACCAAAGCAGAAUGAACCACUGAAAAAAGAAAGAAUGUCCUCCUACCCUGCAGAGGAAAUCUAAUGAGAAACACAGGAAGACACCGGGAAGGAGAAGAGGCUUUAAGCCUGUGUCUUACAGACAAAGACUGCCCACUGAACUGGUACCCAUUCGAUUACUGAUGUCAGGCAGAAGUUUGUUGGAUGGGGGUGGGGAAUGGAACGGUGCCUUGGAUGAUGAGAUGUUGACAUAGGGGAGGGGUGGCGGACUUCACACUUGAACGUUCUUUUGAUGGACCUGGUGGAGUGGCCCUGAGGAGCCAGUACAGAUUUUGCUUUUAACAGUCUUCUGGGUGAGGUCUGUGCAGGUGGCUUCUGGGCCACACUUUUGAAGGAACGACCAUAGUGCCAGGCUCGUGGUACAGAGAGAGCAAGACCAGAUCAUUAGCUCCAGAGUAGGGACCAUGUUCCCGAGCUCUGCCUCUCCAUCAGAAUUCUGGCUCCUCACUGGAGCUCCGCCUCACUUCUGUGCACCUAUGCUGAGCUGGAGAGCUGGCUCAGCUGGUAAGAGCACUGGCUGUCCUUCUAGAGUAUUUUGGUUUGAUUCCCAGCACCCACAUGGCAGCUCACAACUAUCCAGGAAGUGCACCUCUCCUGCUUCUGUCAGCUCUGUAGGCAUGGGGUGCACAGGACAUAAAAGCAGGCAGAACACCCAUAUACAUAAAAUAAAAUUAAAGCUAAAACAAAUAAAACCA
rnacentral:lncRNA from 1 species